rnacentral:rRNA from 1 species
GCAGGGAAUUUUGCGCAAUGGGCGAAAGCCUGACGCAGCGACGCCGCGUGGGGGAAGAAGGCCUUAGGGUUGUAAACCCCUUUUCUGGGGGAAGAGAGAGGACGGUACCCCAGGAAUAAGCCCCGGCUAACUACGUGCCAGCAGCCGCGGUAAUACGUAGGGGGCGAGCGUUGUCCGGAAUUACUGGGCGUAAAGGGCGCGUAGGCGGCCCAGGAAGUCUCCGGUGAAAUCUCCCGGCUCAACUGGGAGGGGUCCGGGGAAACUCCUGGGCUUGAGGGCAGCAGAGGAGGGUGGAAUUCCCGGUGUAGUGGUGAAAUGCGUAGAUAUCGGGAGGAACACCAGUGGCGAAGGCGGCCCUCUGGGCUGUACCUGACGCUGAGGCGCGAAAGCGUGGGGAGCGAACCGG